ACGGGUGAGUAACACGUGAGCAACCUACCCCUGACUCUGGGAUAAGCGCUGGAAACGGCGUCUAAUACUGGAUAUGUGACUCGACCGCAUGGUCUGUGUCUGGAAAGAAUUUCGGUUGGGGAUGGGCUCGCGGCCUAUCAGCUUGUUGGUGAGGUAAUGGCUCACCAAGGCGUCGACGGGUAGCCGGCCUGAGAGGGUGACCGGCCACACUGGGACUGAGACACGGCCCAGACUCCUACGGGAGGCAGCAGUGGGGAAUAUUGCACAAUGGGCGCAAGCCUGAUGCAGCAACGCCGCGUGAGGGAUGACGGCCUUCGGGUUGUAAACCUCUUUUAGCAGGGAAGAAGCGAAAGUGACGGUACCUGCAGAAAAAGCGCCGGCUAACUACGUGCCAGCAGCCGCGGUAAUACGUAGGGCGCAAGCGUUAUCCGGAAUUAUUGGGCGUAAAGAGCUCGUAGGCGGUUUGUCGCGUCUGCUGUGAAAUCCGGAGGCUCAACCUCCGGCCUGCAGUGGGUACGGGCAGACUAGAGUGCGGUAGGGGAGAUUGGAAUUCCUGGUGUAGCGGUGGAAUGCGCAGA
rnacentral:rRNA from 1 species